rnacentral:rRNA from 1 species
CUACGGGCGGCAGCAGUAAGGAAUAUUGCGCAAUGGAGGCAACUCUGACGCAGCCAUGCCGCGUGCAGGAAGAAGGCCUUAUGGGUCGUAAACUGCUUUUAUUUAGGAAUAAACCCCCGAACGUGUUCGGGGCUGAAGGUACUAAACGAAUAAGCACCGGCUAACUCCGUGCCAGCAGCCGCGGUAAUACGGAGGGUGCAAGCGUUAUCCGGAUUUAUUGGGUUUAAAGGGUGCGCAGGCGGGCUAUUAAGUCAGUGGUGAAAUCCCGGGGCUCAACUCCGGAACUGCCAUUGAUACUGAUAGUCUUGAGUUUGGUUGAAGUGGGCGGAAUGUAGCAUGUAGCGGUGAAAUGCAUAGAUAUGCUACAGAACACCAAUCGCGAAGGCAGCUCACUAAGCCAAAACUGACGCUCAUGCACGAAAGCGUGGGGAUCAAACAGGAUUAGAUACCCUCGUAGUC